UACAGAGGUCUCAAGCGUUGUUCGGAUUCAUUGGGCGUAAAGGGUGCGUAGGCGGCGCGGUAAGUCGGGUGUGAAAUCUUGGAGCUUAACUCCGAAACAGCAUUCGAUACUGCCGUGCUUGAGGACUGGAGAGGAGACUGGAAUUUACGGUGUAGCGGUGAAAUGCGUAGAUAUCGUAAGGAAGACCAGUGGCGAAGGCGGGUCUCUGGACAGUUCCUGACGCUGAGGCACGAAGGCCAGGGGAGCAAACGGG
rnacentral:rRNA from 1 species